rnacentral:rRNA from 1 species
GACGAACGCUGGCGGCGUGCUUAACACAUGCAAGUCGAACGGAAAGGCCCUGCUUUUGUGGGGUGCUCGAGUGGCGAACGGGUGAGUAACACGUGAGUAACCUGCCCUUGACUUUGGGAUAACUUCAGGAAACUGGGGCUAAUACCGGAUAGGAGCUCCUGCUGCAUGGUGGGGGUUGGAAAGUUUCGGCGGUUGGGGAUGGACUCGCGGCUUAUCAGCUUGUUGGUGGGGUAGUGGCUUACCAAGGCUUUGACGGGUAGCCGGCCUGAGAGGGUGACCGGCGACAAGGGGACUGAGAUACGGCCCAGACGGCUACGGGAGGCAGCAGUGGGGAAUAUUGCACAAUGGGCGGAAGCCUGAUGCAGCAACGCCGGGUGCGGGAUGACGGCCUUCGGGUUGUAAACCGCUUUCGCCUGUGACGAAGCGUGAGUGACGGUAAUGGGUAAAGAAGCACCGGCUAACUACGUG